CACGUAGGGCGCAAGCGUUGUCCGGAAUUAUUGGGCGUAAAGAGCUCGUAGGCGGUCUGUUGCGUCCGCUGUGAAAACUCGGGGCUUAACCCCGAGCCUGCAGUGGAUACGGGCAGACUAGAGGUAGGUAGGGGAGAAUGGAAUUCCCGGUGUAGCGGUGAAAUGCGCAGAUAUCGGGAGGAACGCCGGUGGCGAAGGCGGUUCUCUGGGCCUUACCUGACGCUGAGGAGCGAAAGCGUGGGGAGCGAACAGG
rnacentral:rRNA from 1 species